rnacentral:lncRNA from 1 species
UGCAGAGGUGGGUUUUGUUCCGAUCCGUUUUCCGGCCCUCGUGCCCUCUCCUUGUAAGUUUAAGGAGCUAUAGCAAAAAUUUAAUUAAAGUUAUAAUAAUAUUCAUGAUAAAGUAAAUUAUAAUAAAAAAUAUGAGAACAGAAGUAAAAACAGCAGUAAAGGAAGGUACUUUGCCAAUGAAAGAGGUGUUUGAGGAACUACUAUUGAUAUCUAAUGCGACAAUUAAUAGACUAAAUAAGAAACUCUUGCUUAUGAGUGAAGGGAAGAGUAUAAACACAUUUAAGAAAAAGGUAUCAUAUGCUCAAGUUGUAAAAAAAGCUAUAUUUAGAAAUGAUGAAAAUUCAGUAUUCAUAAAAUCUAACAAUGGAGAAGUAAAGGGAGUGGAACUGCAGAAUCUUGUAAAAAAUUAGGUGGAUAUUAAUACUUCCAAAAUUAGAGUAAAAAG